rnacentral:rRNA from 1 species
AUUGAACGCUGGCGGAAUGCUUUACACAUGCAAGUCGGGCGGCAGCAUGGACUUCGGUCUGAUGGCGAGCGGCGAACGGGUGAGUAAUGCAUCGGAACGUACCUAGUUGUGGGGAUGAGCUCGGCGAAAGCCGGAUUAAUACCGCAUACGUCCUACGGGAGAAAGCAGGGGAUCGCAAGACCUUGCGCAAUUGGAGCGGCCGAUGUCUGAUUAGCUAGUUGGUGGGGUAAAGGCCUACCAAGGCUUCGAUCAGUAGCGGGUCUGAGAGGAAGAUCCGCCACACUGGGACUGAGACACGGCCCAGACUCCUACGGGAGGCAGCAGUGGGGAAUUUUGGACAAUGGCGCAAGCCUGAUCCAGCCAUUCCGCGUGAGUGAAGAAGGCCUUCGGUUGUAAAGCUCUUUCAGCAGGAACGAAACGGUCCGCUCUAACAUAGCGGGCUACUGACGGUACCUGAAGAAGAAGCACCGGCUAACUACGUGCCAGCAGCCGCGGUAAUACGUAGGGUGCGAGCGUUAAUCGGAAUUACUGGGCGUAAAGCGUGCGCAGGCGGCUUUUUAAGCCAGAUGUGAAAUCCCCGGCUUAACCUGGAACUGCAUUGGACUGAGGCUAGAGUGCGGCAGAGGGGGGUAGAAUUCCACGUGUAGCAGUGAAAUGCGUAGAGAUGUGGAGGAAUACCGAU